AUGGGCUUGGGCCACGGGCAGGCUCCUCUGGCCCCUUCACGGCGUUUCCAGGUGUGACACGGAGCUGCGGGUCAGGCCUGCUGCCUGGGUGCACCCUGGGUCCACGCCCAUCGCCGGCACCGUGGCUCAAGGCCUCUCUCGCACUGGCCUUCACAGCGUCUUGAAAGCACGCAGCACAGUGUCCUUGCACUGUGGCCACUGCCCGUAUUGUCCGGCCGCCUUCACUUUUCAGAAGUCCCGGUCCUGGGGGCCCCGUCCGUGCCGGCAGACCCACUGUCAGGAAGAUGCUACUUUCCAUCACAGGAAUUAUUCUGUCACAAGUCCUCUGAUCUCAGGCUUCCAAAUGGGAAAAGGAAACCUAUUGUGCUGAAAUGGGAUCUUUUUGCUGAGGGACCAGCCUCAUCUAGAAAGGUUCAAUUCAACGACGUCCCUACCGCGGUGCUGGGAGUUUCUGGCCUCCUCACAGCAGAGGCACCUUCUGCGGAGCCUCCCGCUGGGCAGGUGCUUUCUGGAGGGUCUGCAGAGUGGUGCCACACGGAGAGCCACGCACUGAAAAGGACCACCCACGAAGUGCCUUCCCCCCAACGGUGGGACAGCCUCUCAUCCUCCAAAGGUCUGCCGAGCACGUGAGAUAACAGCGCUCCUAAACGCUCCCACCAAGCCUCCUCCCUGCUUCCAGGGCCUGGCCUGCAGCCCUGAGCCGUAUCACCCCCAACCCAAGGCACCGGGGCAGUGCCCACCAAGGCUACCAGACGGAAUCCCCACCUGGGAUAAUGGGGAUGGGGUUACAAGCUGCCGUUCUUCUGGACACGGGGUCCUUGGGAGUCAAAGCGGCCCCAGCACA
rnacentral:lncRNA from 1 species